AUUGAACGCUGGCGGCAUGCUUUACACAUGCAAGUCGAACGGCAGCGCGGGCUUCGGCCUGGUGGCGAGUGGCGAACGGGUGAGUAAUGCAUCGGAACGUGCCCAGCAGUGGGGGAUAGCCCGGCGAAAGCCGGAUUAAUACCGCAUACGACCUGAGGGUGAAAGCGGGGGAUCGAAAGGCCUCGCGCUACUUGAUCGGCCGAUGUCGGAUUAGCUAGUUGGUGGGGUAAAGGCUUACCAAGGCGACGAUCCGUAGCUGAUCUGAGAGGACGACCAGCCACACUGGAACUGAGACACGGCCCAGACUCCUACGGGAGGCAGCAGUGGGGAAUUUUGGACAAUGGGGGCAACCCUGAUCCAGCCAUGCCGCGUGCGGGAAGAAGGCCUUCGGGUUGUAAACCGCUUUUGUUCGGGAAGAAAACCUCUGGGCUAAUACCCCGGGGGGAUGACGGUACCGGAAGAAUAAGCACCGGCUAACUACGUG
rnacentral:rRNA from 1 species